GAUGAACGCUGGCGGCGUGCCUAAUACAUGCAAGUCGAGCGAACAGACGAGGAGCUUGCUCCUCUGACGUUAGCGGCGGACGGGUAAGUAACACGUGGAUAACCUACCUAUAAGACUGGGAUAACUUCGGGAAACCGGAGCUAAUACCGGAUAAUAUAUUGAACCGCAUGGUUCAAUAGUGAAAGACGGUUUUGCUGUCACUUAUAGAUGGAUCCGCGCCGCAUUAGCUAGUUGGUAAGGUAACGGCUUACCAAGGCAACGAUGCGUAGCCGACCUGAGAGGGUGAUCGGCCACACUGGAACUGAGACACGGUCCAGACUCCUACGGGAGGCAGCAGUAGGGAAUCUUCCGCAAUGGGCGAAAGCCUGACGGAGCAACGCCGCGUGAGUGAUGAAGGUCUUCGGAUCGUAAAACUCUGUUAUUAGGGAAGAACAAAUGUGUAAGUAACUAUGCACGUCUUGACGGUACCUAAUCAGAAAGCCACGGCUAACUACGUG
rnacentral:rRNA from 1 species